AUUGAACGCUGGCGGCAGGCUUAACACAUGCAAGUCGAGCGGGGUGAUGGUGCUUGCACUAUCACUUAGCGGCGGACGGGUGAGUAAUGCUUAGGAAUCUGCCUAUUAGUGGGGGACAACAUCUCGAAAGGGAUGCUAAUACCGCAUACGUCCUACGGGAGAAAGCAGGGGAUCACUUGUGACCUUGCGCUAAUAGAUGAGCCUAAGUCGGAUUAGCUAGUUGGGGGGGUAAAGGCCUACCAAGGCGACGAUAUGUAGCGGGUCUGAGAGGAUGAUCCACCACACUGGGACUGAGACACGGCCCAGACUCCUACGGGAGGCAGCAGUGGGGAAUAUUGGACAAUGGGGGGAACCCUGAUCCAGCCAUGCCGCGUGUGUGAAGAAGGCCUUAUGGUUGUAAAGCACUUUAAGCGAGGAGGAGGCUCUUUUGGUUAAUACCCAAGAUGAGUGGACGUUACUCGCAGAAUAAGCACCGGCUAACUCUGUGCCAGCCGCCGCAGUAA
rnacentral:rRNA from 1 species